GAGGGUAUAGCUCAUGGUGGUUGAGUGCAUGCUUAGCAUGCAUGAGGUCCUGGGUUCAAUCCCCAGUACCCCCU
rnacentral:tRNA from 1 species